AGAAGGUCCACGGCCGGCGCCCGGGCCGGGACCGCGCGCACCGGCUCGCUGCUGCGCAGGGGUCCCCCGAGCCCCCUGAGGGGGGCUGCAGAGGUCGAAGAAUCGCUCUUCAUAACGAGUCCGGGUCCAAGGCCCAGGUCCUCAGACGUCGGAGUGACCGCCUCCCCAGAGGCUCCGGGAUAUCCCGAGUUGGCCUGGGCGAAGAGGGAGAGUCCUCAUCUCUUUGCCCACACCCCUUCCCGAGGUCGAUUCCCCGAGAAGGAAAAGGAAGGGGCCUAUCUGAGGCAAAAGCUGGGCUCGCCUGGAGGCUGGGGAAGCAGUUUACACGUCAGAUUUGCAGGAUUCUUGCAUCCCUGGAAUACCUGGCCCUAGCUUCUCCGGCCCCGCGACACGUGCAGGAACUGCCUCAGCUCCGGGCUCCUGGUUACGAUCAAAGACUCACCUCGCCUCCCGGCAGCGGGCGCGGACAUCUUUGCGCUCGCCCAGCCCCGCAGCCGCGCGGCGUCCCGGCGGCGCGGAGUACUCUAGGAGUUGUAGUUCCUCAGCUCUCGGCCCAUCGCCUUCUGUAAUGGAAGUAGGAGGCAGAGCGCGGACUACAACCCCCAGCACGCCGCGCCCCGGAAGCCGCCCCUGUGCCGUGAGAAAACAAACUGGUGCUACAGCUUCGGGGUGCGGAAGUCAAAACGAAGCAAAACCGAAGCUGUCUUGUGAAAUGGAGGGGUCCUCACUAACCAGUUCCAGCGGAGGCUAACGGAAGAAGUGCCAGCAAUGGAUGUGCAGCUACAUGCACGCUUUUAAUUCAGAGCUUCUGCGACGGUGGCGAUCAGGGGAUCUGUAAUGUAAUGUAAUGUCAAGGCUGACGCAGAGCUGAUCAAACAUUUUGGCAACCUUAGUCUUGAAUUGAUUCACACUUUCUCCGCGUUGCCUCCGGAGUUUGCUGUAGGGUAAUGAAUAUUGCCUGGGUCCAGACUUCUCUUUCCUCGGAGUCUGGUGGACUUGGUUCUGCCUCAGCUUCCCAUGCAGACUUUUCUGCAAGAGAACGGAAAUCCCAGAAGAUGGAUGUGUGCAUGUCUGGUGACAAGGGCAGGGGAUGUAUGAUGUGAGCAGGUGCCUGUUUAAUCUAAUUUCUAGGAGAGCAAAGAUUCUAGGGAAGCUUUGGAGUGAAUUCAAAGGGUAGAGAACUGGGGAGAAACUAAAGCCAAGAGGAUCUAGUACAAAUGUGGGAAGCUUGGCAAAGCCCGGGUGAAACAGAAUAUAAUAAUAAGUGUGAUUUGUGGAUCUGUUUAAAAUUAUUAUUAUAGUUACAAUUUACCAAAUACUCUGUUCCCAGUACUUUACUAUAAAGUGCAUUAUGUACGGUAUGGUUUUGUUUUUCACAAUGUCCUUAUUUUACAUUGUGUAACUUGCUCAUGGAAUGACUGUGUAUCCCCUGAAUAGCAAACAUACUUAGUUCUGUCCCUGCAGAGCAGAGUAGAGCUCAAUACACAUCUUUGAACC
rnacentral:lncRNA from 1 species